CAGUGGCGAACGGGUGAGUAACACGUGGGCAAUCUGCCCUGCACUCUGGGACAAGCCCUGGAAACGGGGUCUAAUACCGGAUACGACCUUCCUCUGCAUGGGGGUUGGUGGAAAGCUCCGGCGGUGCAGGAUGAGCCCGCGGCCUAUCAGCUUGUUGGUGGGGUAAUGGCCUACCAAGGCGACGACGGGUAGCCGGCCUGAGAGGGCGACCGGCCACACUGGGACUGAGACACGGCCCAGACUCCUACGGGAGGCAGCAGUGGGGAAUAUUGCACAAUGGGCGAAAGCCUGAUGCAGCGACGCCGCGUGAGGGAUGACGGCCUUCGGGUUGUAAACCUCUUUCAGCAGGGAAGAAGCGAAAGUGACGGUACCUGCAGAAGAAGCACCGGCUAACUACGUGCCAGCAGCCGCGGUAAUACGUAGGGUGCGAGCGUUGUCCGGAAUUAUUGGGCGUAAAGAGCUCGUAGGCGGCCUGUUGCGUCGGUUGUGAAAGCCCGGGGCUUAACCCCGGGUCUGCAGUCGAUACGGGCAGGCUAGAGUUCGGUAGGGGAGAUCGGANUUCCU
rnacentral:rRNA from 1 species